GAUGAAGAACGCAGCGAAAUGCGAUAAGUAGUGUGAAUUGCAGAAUUCAGUGAAUCAUCGAAUCUUUGAACGCACAUUGCGCCCCUUGGUAUCCCGAGGGGCAUGCCUGUUCGAGCGUCAUUUCACCACUCAAGCCUGGCUUGGUGUUGGUCGACGUCCUCUUUGGGGACGCGCCUCGAAACGCUCGGCGGCGUGGCACCGGCUUUAAGCGUAGCAGAAUCUUUCGCUUUGGAAGUCGGGGCCCCGUCUGCCGGAAGACCUGCUCGCAAGGUUGACCUCGGAUCAGGCAGGGAUACCCGCUGAACUUAAGCAUAUCAAUAAGCGGAGGA
rnacentral:misc_RNA from 1 species